rnacentral:rRNA from 1 species
GUGGGGAAUAUUGCGCAAUGGGCGAAAGCCUGACGCAGCCAAUCCGCGUGAGUGAUGAAGGCCUUCGGGUUGUAAAGCUCUGUCGUGAGGGAAGAAACCUGACGGUACCUCACAAGAAAGCACCGGCUAACUCCGUGCCAGCAGCCGCGGUAAUACGGAGGGUGCAAGCGUUGCUCGGAAUCACUGGGCGUAAAGCGUCCGCAGGCGGACGCGUAAGUCGGGUGUGAAAGCCCGGGGCUCAACCCCGGAAUUGCACUCGAAACUGCGUGUCUUGAGUACGGGAGAGGGAAGCGGAAUUCCUGGUGUAGAGGUGAAAUUCGUAGAUAUCAGGAGGAACACCUGUGGCGAAAGCGGCUUCCUGGCCCGAUACUGACGCUCAUGGACGAAAGCGUGGGGAGCAAACAGGAUUAGAAACCCGGGUAGUCC